rnacentral:lncRNA from 1 species
GUGCCAUCAGUGCCCGCACUUGCUCAGGCGAGUACUGUUGCAGAGACACACCCUAGGCCUACUCCCAGCGGGUUCCCACAGGGUCAGGGAGUCCACAGAUCUCCAUAUGGAGUGCAGUAUCUGUAGACUGCUGCUUGAGGAUACAGAUUGACCCCACCCCCUUCCACUCUGGACACAGCCACGGUUGAUGGUUCUUUUGAGAUACUCAUUGGAAAAACUGGAGUUCAUGGCUUCUACGAAGAAAGAAGAUGGGGCCCCACUUCAUCGAUUCCACUUGAUUCAACUUGAUGCCUCUGAACUAACAAACACCACCCUAAAACCAGUUUGGGACUAUAAGGCUUGAAACAACUCCAGACUAACUAGCUGAAACAGUACACCUUCUUAUUACACUCUGGCCAGAGUUUCAGAUAAGAACUUCAGUCAAGCAUUUCCUGCUACACAGAGACGAGCUACAAAUAUUACAGCUAGUCCUCCAGCUAUUUUUUUUUCCUACAGGAUCCCAUGGAGUUCAUUGUCCCAUUUCAGCAGGAAGUAAUCCAAAGAAAGCAAUACCCCUUCCACUACUGUUGGCUUUAAGGAACAGUAUUC